rnacentral:rRNA from 1 species
CACGUAGGGGACGAGCGUUGUCCGGAUUCAUUGGGCGUAAAGCGCGCGUAGGCGGCUCGGAAAGUCGGUCGUGAAAUGCCGGGGCUCAACCCCGGGACUGCGUCCGAUACUCCCGAGCUGGAGGCAGGUAGGGGAGAUCGGAAUUCCUGGUGUGGCGGUGAAAUGCGCAGAUAUCAGGAGGAACACCGGUGGCGAAGGCGGAUCUCUGGGCCUUGCCUGACGCUGAGGCGCGAAAGCUAGGGGAGCGAACAGG